rnacentral:misc_RNA from 1 species
GAUGAAGAACGUAGCGAAAUGCGAUAAGUAAUGUGAAUUGCAGAAUUCAGUGAAUCAUCGAAUCUUUGAACGCACAUUGCGCCCGCCAGUAUUCUGGCGGGCAUGCCUGUUCGAGCGUCAUUUCAGCCAUCAAGCCCCCGGCUUGUGUUGGGGACCUGCGGCUGCCGCAGGCCCUGAAAAGCAGUGGCGGGCUCGCUGUCACACCGAGCGUAGUAGCAUACAUCUCGCUCUGGGCGUGCUGCGGGUUCCGGCCGUUAAACCACCUUCAUAACCCAAGGUUGACCUCGGAUCAGGUAGGAAGACCCGCUGAACUUAAGCAUAUCAAUAAGCGGAGGA